CCUACGGGGGGCAGCAGUGGGGAAUAUUGGACAAUGGGGGGAACCCUGAUCCAGCCAUGCCGCGUGUGUGAAGAAGGCCCUCGGGUUGUAAAGCACUUUCAGUGAGGAAGAACGCCUGGUGGUUAAUACCCAUCAGGAAAGACAUCACUCACAGAAGAAGCACCGGCUAACUCCGUGCCAGCAGCCGCGGUAAUACGGAGGGUGCGAGCGUUAAUCGGAAUUACUGGGCGUAAAGCGCGCGUAGGUGGCUUGAUAAGCCGGUUGUGAAAGCCCCGGGCUCAACCUGGGAACGGCAUCCGGAACUGUCAAGCUAGAGUGCAGGAGAGGAAGGUAGAAUUCCCGGUGUAGCGGUGAAAUGCGUAGAGAUCGGGAGGAAUACCAGUGGCGAAGGCGGCCUUCUGGCCUGACACUGACACUGAGGUGCGAAAGCGUGGGUAGCAAACAGGAUUAGAUACCCGAGUAGUC
rnacentral:rRNA from 1 species